GGCCGCGUAGCGUAAUGGUUAACGCGCUAGUUUCCGGUGAUCGGAUUAGCUAGAGAUUGUGAGUUCGAGUCUCACCGUGGUCG